ensembl:lncRNA
CUUCUCAUCACGAAUUGCCGUAUACACACCCAGAAGGUGUUCGUCAGAUUCAACCCAAAAGAGGUAUUCCGCAAGUUGUGGUCCCAGAAACCCGAGACAGCCAAGCUUGUCGACUGGGCAGCAACUAAAUGGCCCAAUGCAGUCCUCGAACAUACGGAGGCAGACCUUACUCACAUGUUAUCCCAACUCGAGAAAUUUACCAUCACACAAGCCGAGUUUUCUAACAUCCACACUAGAGAGAAACGUUUUGUCGGAGCCUUACUAAUGGCCGCCUCUGCGUUAGGCUCGAUUUUUAGUGUAGGAAUGUCCACGGUAAAUGCGGUGAGCAUAGCGACAAUAAAACGCCAGGUCAAGGAAGUCAAAGCAGAGAUACCAGCUUUACAACGUCAAGUAGACCAACAGCAGAAAACCUUAGAGGUUAUUGGCAAAACCCUUAAAAACACCAUUACAGUCCUCAACACCCAAUCGGUGGCCCUGAACAAAACUAUCAACACGAUAAACCACCUGGUUAGCAUAAUGCAAGUAGAUUACUUUCUCGACCAAAUUAUCACGCAACUAACGGAAGACCUAUUACGAGAAGUUACCAACUCAGUCGAGAGCCUAGCUCUCGGUAGAAUUCCCCCAUAUCUUGUACCAUUAUCGCUAGUACAAAACAUCCUAACAACCGCUACCAGGGAUCGAGUCACUCCAAUACAGGCACACCUAGCCUACACCCUGGGCAGCGCCAUUCCCUUACACGUAAACCCUGAAAGCCGAGAGAUAGCUUUCCUAAUUAGCCUACCCGUUGUCGCAUCCGAUAACGUCUACCGCCUCAAAGACGUCGUUAACGUAGGAACUUGGAACGAAGACACUCACGUGCAGGUUGAAACGCCUUCGAUCAUUGCGUAUCAUGACGACAAUCAGGACCUAUACUUAGCUCCUAAUUUACGCAUGUGUACUCGCACCAAAGACAUCCACUAUCUCUGUCCAAGUAAACCUUUCAUUCGGGACAACACUAACGGUAUCUGUGGUCUCCAACCCAUGAACCCCGAUAACCAAUGUUCUGCAGCAAUAACCACCCGAACUCAAGUAACCACGACCCAAGCUGAAAUAGUGGGCCAUCGCUGGUUGGUUCAUAGUCCUGCCAAAUUUGCUACUCUGUCUUACGACCAGCAUGACACAAACACUCGCGUAUCCCUCAUCAACCAAGUCAUGUGGAUUACGGUACCUGAGAAUGCCAUCCUACACAUUGACGACCUCGCCUUGUUCCAUUUACCUCCCGAGCAAUAUCAAACAGACAUCGAAAUGCCGGAUUUCUUUAAAGACCUAUCUCUAGAAAUCAGCCCACAAACUUUAACCCAGAUCCAAUAUGAAGGGACUAAAAUUAUCGACAUCACCCCUCUCGAUAAUGUCCUUAAGGAACUAAAAUCUACUACAAAAACUCCUAACCAACCUCUAAUGUACACCUGGUCUACCCCAGACACCUCCCUAGCUAUGGUAAUUAUUCUCAGUUACAUAGUUUUCUUUGGCGUUGCCACCUUGUCCUUUAGACGCACCAAAAAUUUACAAGACCAAAUAAAUCGUUGCUCCGAUCGCCUAUUUAAACGCAAACAAAACAGAUUCAAGAGUCCCACCGAGGACACAUCUGAGGGUCAGGACUUAACCGUGCUGGUUGAUCCGUAAACUUCCAAUCAGCCAUCCCAUUGAUCAGGCCCCAAACAUUAGCAUAUCUAACACCCUGCUACUGAGACCACCUACUCGUCUCAUUAUAUAGGCACAGGCCAAAUUUAGCUAGAGCAAAAGAAAGCUUUUCUUCCUUUUCUCUUAUUUAGCUUAAGAUCCCUUAGGGAUUUCUUUUGUGUGUUUAGAUGUGAUUCUUUUUAUACCCC